rnacentral:snRNA from 1 species
GGAUGUGAGGGCGAUCUGGCUGCGACAUCUGUCACCCCAUUGAUCGCCAGGGUUGAUUCGGCUGAUCUGGCUGGCUAGGCGGGUGUCCCCCUCCUCCCUCACCGAUCCAUGUGCGUCCCUCCCGAAGCUGC